AGCCCCGUGGUGUAGUGGUCAAGCAUCGGGGACUCUGGCGAAGCCCCUUUAAAAAGGUGCUUUAUCCCCAAAGGGCUUCGGAGAGAUCCCUGGACGGAGGUUCGAAUCCUCCCGGGGCUG
rnacentral:tRNA from 1 species